rnacentral:rRNA from 1 species
AACCUGCCUUGGAGAGGGGAAUAACACAGAGAAAUUUGUGCUAAUACCGCAUGAUGCAGUUGGGUCGCAUGGCUCUGACUGCCAAAGAUUUAUCGCUCUGAGAUGGCCUCGCGUCUGAUUAGCUAGUUGGUAGGGUAACGGCCUACCAAGGCGACGAUCAGUAGCCGGACUGAGAGGUUGACCGGCCACAUUGGGACUGAGACACGGCCCAG